rnacentral:rRNA from 1 species
CGACUACGAGUUUGAUCCUGGCUCAGAUUGAACGCUGGCGGCAUGCUUUACACAUGCAAGUCGAACGCGAAAGUCCUUCGGGGCGAGUAGAGUGGCGGACGGGUGAGUAACGCGUGGGAAUCUACCCUAGAGCGGGGGACAACCCGGGGAAACCCGGGCUAAUACCGCAUACGUCCUACGGGAGAAAGAGGGCCUCUGCUUGCACGCUCUCACUCCAGGAUGAGCCCACGUCCGAUUAGCUAGUUGGUAGGGUAAAGGCCUACCAAGGCCACGAUCGGUAGCUGGUCUGAGAGGAUGAUCAGCCACACUGGGACUGAGACACGGCCCAGACUCCUACGGGAGGCAGCAGUGGGGAAUAUUGGACAAUGGGCGCAAGCCUGAUCCAGCAAUGCCGCGUGUGUGAAGAAGGCCUGCGGGUUGUAAAGCACUUUCAGUGGGGAAGAACAGAUUCGGGUCAAUACCCCGGAGCCCUGACGUUACCCACAGAAGAAGCACCGGCUAACUCCGUG